UACGUAGGGGGCAAGCGUUGUCCGGAUUUACUGGGCGUAAAGGGCGCGUAGGCGGCCAACUAAGUCAGACGUGAAAUCCCCAGGCUCAACCUGGGAACUGCGUCUGAUACUGGAUGGCUCGAGUUCGGGAGAGGGAAGUGGAAUUCCAGGUGUAGCGGUGAAAUGCGUAGAUAUCUGGAGGAACACCGGUGGCGAAGGCGGCUUCCUGGACCGACACUGACGCUGAGGCGCGAAAGCCAGGGGAGCAAACAGG
rnacentral:rRNA from 1 species